GACGAACGCUGGCGGCGUGCUUAACACAUGCAAGUCGAACGGUAAGGCCCUUCGGGGUACACGAGUGGCGAACGGGUGAGUAACACGUGGGUGAUCUGCCCUGCACUUCGGGAUAAGCCUGGGAAACUGGGUCUAAUACCGGAUAGGACCCUGGGAUGCAUGUCCUGGGGUGGAAAGCUUUUGCGGUGUGGGAUGGGCCCGCUGCCUAUCAGCUUGUUGGUGGGGUGAUGGCCUACCAAGGCGACGACGGGUAGCCGGCCUGAGAGGGUGACCGGCCACACUGGGACUGAGAUACGGCCCAGACUCCUACGGGAGGCAGCAGUGGGGAAUAUUGCACAAUGGGCGCAAGCCUGAUGCAGCGACGCCGCGUGAGGGAUGACGGCCUUCGGGUUGUAAACCUCUUUCAGCACCGACGAAGCGCAAGUGACGGUACCUGCAGAAAAAGCACCGGCUAACUACGUGCCAGCAGCCGCAGUAA
rnacentral:rRNA from 1 species